UCUGUCUCUCCCCCACCCCCCCAGCUGGCCUUGGCAUUCUAACCAGUGUCCCUUGACGUCACAUCUCGCCAUUUCUGUCAACCAAUUGAAACUUGCCCGUUGUCAUAAAAAUAUAUAUACUUUUUAUACCAUUGGUAAAUUCAAAAGUUCCUCGUGUGCCCUGCUUGCGAGGGAACUUCAUUCCACACCGGAGUGGGCUGCCAGGAAGGGGGAUUGGCCACACGGAGCGAGGCCGGGCUGGGCAGCACUGCCAGGGCCUCGGCUGCCCACCGGCUGGGCUUCCUAGGUUCCCAGACCCCUACUCCAUGAACCCCCCUCCAGACACACCACUGUGACCUUGGCCUUGAGCUGGCUCAACACCCCCCUCCACCCACAACAUGCCCACCACCCUAUGAAGUACAGCAUUUUUGAGGAGGAAGGGAGGAUACAUUAGAAACCUUCCAGAAUUACUUUCCUGGGGUUGGGGGGUGGGUGCAAUCUUCCUGCGGCCUUUUCUUUCUAGACACACACGGCUUUGCUUUUCUCUAUCAGAAGACCCGGUUUUAGAAAAUGGAGAAGUGUUUCCCAGUUAAAUCUUCUCACUGAAAUCCUGAUCAACUUUCACUUUCCACAUUUGCCAGACAUCACAGAAAGGACACAAGCCGGGUGAUUUUCCUAGGGGGGGUACCCAAGAAAAGGGUCCAGGAUGGCCCUCGCAGUUUCGGGAUGGCCCUCCCGGCCUCAAGGGUGGUGGGCCUGUGAGCUGGAAGCCCAGAAUUCCAUGCUCUUCCUUCCUCCAAAAAGGAUGCCAAGACUCGGCAAUGCCAUACCCACUUUCUAGCGAUAAGAACAGACUUCAGUGUGCCUGUGGCUAACAGUGAUCAGCGGAAUGCCCCAUGCUUUCUCCCGGCUGAUGGAUGCGAACCCCAAAUCCAUGCAACCUUUUGUGAGCAGCUGUUAAAGUCAUUUUUAACCUACUUUGGAAUCCCACCCAUUCACUGUUCACUAUGUGUUAUGUGUGUGUGUAACAUCAGAAAGAAGUCUAACAACCCUGAACGCAUCCUUCAGGGGUUAUUAUUUUUCAAAUAGAAGUAAAGCAAAACAUAAAAGAAGUCUACAAUAAAUGUGUGUUCAAUAAUAUAUGUAUAUACAUAUGUAUGCACAUACACAGACAUAUAUACACACACACAUAUGCUCAUAUAUAUGUGAAUACACUGUAUAGACGACGUAUAUGCCAGUGAGAAAAAUUUCCCCUUAUAAAUGAGGAAUUACAAUUAAUAUUUUCCAUGCCAAAGUAGUAACCACACAAAUCAGAAAUUAUUAAUUAAAGAUGAUGGGCAAAUGUCCCUGGUCAUAUAUACUAUGUCAAAUGCCAGAGCUUGAUUCUUGAGUUUAUAAAAGGGAUGAAAAAAGGCGCAGUACAAACUAAAUUUAAAAAAAAAUCCAAAAUACCUUUCAAAGAGAAGGGAGUGUUCUGUUUAUUUUAGUAGCUCAAUUCUGCAAAAGGGAAUCAUCAUAAAUUGUGAAAUAACAUUUUUCGCAGAUUUAUUAGCAAUUUAAAAUAUAUUAGAAUUUGGAGUUUAACAGUUUUUAGUAAUAAAAAAUGCCAAUUUCCAAGAAAACGAAAGGAGGUCAGAAAAUCUGAAAAGAAUUUCAUUCCUAAAGUGUCCAAGGAAUGCCUCCUUUUUACAGUUGAAGAACCUCGAUUUAUUUAAAGUAUUUUUGUAUCCUAUCAACCCUUUACUGAGGCUUGAAAUCAUCGUUAUUUUUUAGUGACCACAUAUUCUUUUUCAAUUCUAUAUCUAAGCAGAUUUUAUCUGUGUCAAUGUCAACUUUAAGGACUGUCAACUGUUUACGUUUUGACUCCAAAAAUUUUAAAUAAUGCUGAAAUGCUAAUGAAGAUCAGCUGAAUUUUGUUGCUUUCCCACAGAUGAUAUGAGAACCUUCGUACUAUCUUUUAACUCUACAGUUCUUCAGUCUGCUAGUAAAUUAUAAGCCCUUGGAAUAAAGAAACAGUCUGAAAAAGAAAAAGAAAGAGAGAGAAACAACCCUGAUUUAGAGCUCAAAUGGUUCAUUGUUAAGCUGCAAGGGACAGCAGGAACUUUUUUUUUUUUUAA